CGUGAGUCUGUACCGUACAUGUGUAUGUCUACUGCGAAGAAACUCGAAGAUUUUCAGAGGGAGGUUAUGUAUACAUUUUAAGGCGCACGCGGGAAAUAUGUAACCCACUAUAGGUGUGAACGUUUGACUCCACGCGUGAUGUCCACGUGUAUAGUAUGCCACAGGGAAACUCGAAGGUCGUGGAACUUGUUGGACACAAUGGAGAAUACGAAUGAAAUUUCCAAUUCGUACGUGGGAGGACAGAAUUGAUAGAAUGUGAACGAGUCAUAAGAAAAGCAAAUUACGUCGCACACGCGAUGCAGGAAAAUUGGAACAAAUAGAGUCAUUGAUUGCAAAAAUUUCAUGAUGGAGCAAUUUUCCGGGUACAGUGCGUACAGCAGGAAAAAUGUUUUCGUCCUGAUGCUGCCGCGCAUAAUAUGAAACAUCAACCGGAUGUCGCCAUCGUGGAACAAUAAAAAACGAACAAAGUAAAUGUAAAAUAACGAUGUUAAACACGGAGCUGUGUAACAAAGUGCUCAUAGACAAUAGUUGUAAGCAUUUAGAAUAUAAAGAAGAAAGAUGUCUGUUGAUAAAACAGUAAUUGUCGUC